GCGGCAUGCCUAACACAUGCAAGUCGAACGAGACCUUCGGGUCUAGUGGCGCACGGGUGCGUAACGCGUGGGAAUCUGCCCUUAGGUUCGGAAUAACAGUGGGAAACUACUGCUAAUACCGGAUGAUGACGUAAGUCCAAAGAUUUAUCGCCUAGGGAUGAGCCCGCGUAGGAUUAGCUAGUUGGUGGGGUAAAGGCCUACCAAGGCGACGAUCCUUAGCUGGUCUGAGAGGAUGAUCAGCCACACUGGGACUGAGACACGGCCCAGACUCCUACGGGAGGCAGCAGUGGGGAAUAUUGGACAAUGGGCGAAAGCCUGAUCCAGCAAUGCCGCGUGAGUGGUGAAGGCCUUAGGGUUGUAAAGCUCUUUUACCCGGGAAGAUAAUGACUGUACCGGGAGAAUAAGCCCCGGCUAACUCCGUGCCAGCAGCCGCGGUAAUACGGAGGGGGCUAGCGUUGUUCGGAAUUACUGGGCGUAAAGCGUACGUAGGCGGCUUUUUAAGUUAGAGGUGAAAGCCCGGGGCUCAACUCCGGAAUUGCCUUUAAGACUGGAUCGCUUGAACGUCGGAGAGGUGAGUGGAAUUCCGAGUGUAGAGGUGAAAUUCGUAGAUAUUCGGAAGAACACCAGUGGCGAAGGCGGCUCACUGGACGACUGUUGACGCUGAGGUACGAAAGCGUGGGGAGCA
rnacentral:rRNA from 1 species